rnacentral:rRNA from 1 species
CCUACGGGGGGCAGCAGUGGGGGAUAUUGCACAAUGGGGGAAACCCUGAUGCAGCGACGCCGCGUGUAGGAAGACGGUCCUCUGGAUUGUAAACUACUGUUCCCAGGGACGAAGAUGACGGUACCUGGGGAGGAAGCUCCGGCUAACUACGUGCCAGCAGCCGCGGUAAUACGUAGGGAGCGAGCGUUGUCCGGAAUUACUGGGUGUAAAGGGAGCGUGGGCGGGGAUGCAAGUUGGGUGUUAAAUCUACCGGCUAAACUGGUAGUCGCACUCAAAACUGCAGCUCUUGAGUGAGGUAGAGGCAGGCGGAAUUCCUAGUGUAGCGGUGAAAUGCGUAGAUAUUAGGAGGAACACCAGUGGCGAAGGCAGCCUGCUGGGCUUUUACUGACGCUGAGGCUCGAAAGUGUGGGGAGCAAACAGGAUUAGAUACCCGAGUAGUC